GUGUGUGUGUCUCCAUCCAUGCGUGAGUGGUGCGUCGGUGGAGCUAUGAAUGGGCAGAGAGGGGUGUUCUCUCCCUCUCUCUCUCCCUCAGACACCAUAGCAGCAGUGAGAUGAGGAGUGCCAUCUACUCCACUGCCCGUCUGCUGUACUGAGAGAAGAAAAGGGAAGGAAGAAACGGAGUUGUGGAGCCAGAGUUUGCAAAAAAGGACAAGGUGAUCCAUCCUAAAGCUGCAUCUGCACUGAAGAAAAAAAAAAGCCUUUAAGCCAGCCAUGGAGCAGAAGACAAAUGAGUCUCCCACCACCACCACCACCACCACCUCUCCUCAGAAGCACAUGAAGAACAGGUCCAAGUCCACGGAGGAGGUGCAGCAGUCAAAGAAGGCCUUUUCCUCACAAAAAUCUCUCCCAGGCAGGCCAGAACUGGACAACGUGAAGGAGUGUCCCGAUGGCUCUGACACGCCCUCGUCCUCCACCGAAGAACUUAAGUGAUUAAAAAAAAAUAAUAAUAAUAAUUAAAACUACAAUAUCAUUAACCUCAUAAAACAAAUAAAUGUGCAUAUGUACACAAGCAAACGUGCAGAAUAUUGAGAACAUUGUAAAACAUGCAAUACGUGAAUUAUGAUGAAAAGACGAAGGAAAAUUGAGAAAGUUGAAUACAAACACACAAACACACACCGAGACUGUCACGUUCAAACCAAUGGACAUUUGUGAUGAUGCUGUUUCGUCGUACUGUGAGUGGCGUAUGCAUACCAACUGAAUGUGCACUGACAAUAAAGAGUGAAUCC